AGCCGCGGUAAUUCCAGCUCCAAUAGCGUAUAUUAAAGUUGUUGCGGUAAAAAAGCUCGUAGUUGGAUCUCUGUUGAGAAAGAGUGGUCUACACCAUGUGUACGCAUCUACUUCUGUCUCGGCAUCCUCGCAGGAUACGUGACUGCGCUUGAUUGUGUGGAACGGACUCUGUGACUUUUACUUUGAGGAAAUUAGAGUGUUCACGGCAGGCUAUCGCCAGAAUACAUUAGCAUGGAAUAAUAAUAUAGGAUCUCGUUUCUAUUUUGUUGGUUUCUAGAAUUGAGAUAAUGAUUAAUAGGGACAAUUGGGGGCAUUCGUAUCAACACGUCAGAGGUGGAAUUCUUGGAUUGUGUUGCGACGAACUACUGCGAAAGCAUUUGCCAAGGAUGUUUUCAUUGAUCAAGAACGAAAGUAAGGGGAUCGAAGACGAUUAGAUACCGUCGUAGUCUUUAUCAUAAACUAUGCCAACUAGAGAUGGGUGAUCGUUCACUUACGACUUCAUCUGCACCUUAUGAGAUAUCAAAGUUUUUGGGUUCCGGGGGGAGUAUGGUCGCAAGUCUGAAACUUAAAGGAAUUGACGGAAGGGCACCACCAGGAGUGGAGCCUGCGGCUUAAUUUGACUCAACACGGGGAAACUCACCAGGUCCAGACAUAAUAAGGAUUGACAGAUUGAUAGCUCUUUCUUGAUUUUAUGGGUGGUGGUGCAUGGCCGUUCUUAGUUCGUGGAGUGAUUUGUCUGCUUAAUUGCGUUAACGAACGAGACCUUAACCUGCUAAAUAGAAGCGCAUAUCCUCGGAUAAGCGCCUUUCUUCUUAGAGGGACUUUAUGCGUUUCAGCAUGAGGAAGUUUGAGGCUAAAACAGGUCUGUGAUGCCAAGCCGAUCCGUUUAACUGCCAGACUA
rnacentral:rRNA from 1 species